rfam:Drosophila sechellia strain Rob3c scaffold_8651 genomic scaffold, whole genome shotgun sequence.
GUAAAUAAGAGUUCUAGCAUUUAUGUUAGUUACUUGUUCCCCGGAUAGUUUAGUUACGUAGCCAAUUGUGGAACUUUCUUGCUAAAAUUUUUAAGAAUACUAUUUGGGUUAAACCAAUUAGUUCUUAUCAAUUAUAACGAUUAUCAAUUAACAAUCAAUUCAGAACUGGCACGGACUUGGGGAAUCCGACUGUCUAAUUAAAACAAAGCAUUGUGAUGGCCCUAGCGGGUGUUGACACAAUGUGAUUUCUGCCCAGUGCUCUGAAUGUCAAAGUGAAGAAAUUCAAGUAAGCGCGGGUCAACGGCGGGAUUACCCCUGGGGAUCAGGGGUAAUUGCGAGCAGAGGGGGAGUAUUUUUCUGUAAUUCGUAAGUCAUAUCAUAUGGUGUGCGGAAGGGGAAUUUUACUCUGUAACUCACAAGUCUCUCCUUUACUGGUCGCUAUGUACAUAGCUAUAGCUUCCAGUCCGGGACGUUUGUCUGGCGUAUCCAGACUCAUGCACCAUGUUGAUACAUGCACCACUUGUGGGUGUUCAGGGUGUCGUGGUUGUAAUCCCUUCAGUGUGGAACACGCCACGUAAAACAAGUUCGGAGAGGUCCGAAAGUCACUGUCCCUAUCUACUAUCUAGCGAAACCACAGCCAAGGGAACGGGCUUGGAAUAAUUAGCGGGGAAAGAAGACCCUUUUGAGCUUGACUCUAAUCUGGCAGUGUAAGGAGACAUAAGAGAUGUAGAAUAAGUGGGAGAUAUUAGACCUCGGUUUGGUAUCGUCAAUGAAAUACCACUACUCUUAUUGUUUCCUUACUUACUUGAUUAAAUGGAACGUGUAUCAUUUCCUAGCCAUUAUACGGAUAUAUUUAUUAUAUCUUAUGGUAUUGGGUUUUUAUGCAAGCUUCUUGAUCAAAGUAUCACGAGUUUUUUAUAUUAUCGCAAACAAAUUCUUUUAUAAAACAAUUCAUUUAUGUAUUUUUGAUUUGAAAAUUUGGUAUAACUCCAAUUACUCAGGUAUGAUCCAAUUCAAGGACAUUGCCAGGUAGGGAGUUUGACUGGGGCGGUACAUCUCUCAAAUAAUAACCGUGACCCAAGGCCAGCUCAGUGCGGGCAGAAACCACACAUAGAGCAAAAUGGCAAAUGCUGACUUGAUCUCGGUGUUCAAUACACACAGGGACAGCAAAAGCUCGGCCUAUCGAUACUUUUGGUUUAAAGAGUUUUUAACAAGAGGUGUCAGCAAAGUUCCCAAAGGGAUAUCUGGCUUGUGGCGGCCAAGCGUUUAUAGCGACGUCGCUUUUUGAUCCUUCGAUGUCGGCUCUUCCUAUCAUUGUGAAGCAAAAUUCACCAUGCGUUGGAUUGUUCACACAUGCAAGGGAACGUGAGCUGGGUUUAGACCGUCGUGAGACAGGUUAGUUUUACCCUACUAAUGACAAAACGUUGUUGCGACAGCAUUCCUGCGUAGUACGAGAGGAACCGCAGGUACGGACCAAUGGCACAAUACUUGUUCGAACGAACAGUGGUAUGACGCUACGUCCGUUGGACGCCUCUAAGGUCGUAUCCGUGCUGGACUGCAAUGAUAAAU